AAAAAAAAGACAAACCAAGAAACAGACUCUUAACUAUAGAGAACAAACUAAUGGUGACCAAAGGGGAGUCAGAAGGGGGAUGGGAGAAGUAGGGAAUGGUAAUUAAAAAGUACACUUAUCAUAAUGAAAAAAAAAUUUUUUUAAAGGUAACCUGAAAAAAUUUACAGUCACUAAAUGAAACAACCAAGAGGACACCACUUAAACAGCACAGAUGCAGCAAGAGGGAACUUUGGCUGCUUGUCCCAUAAGAUCAAAGUCAAAAUGUAUACCUCUUACCUUAGUUAUAGACCAG